GUCUGCUUCUGUGUACAUUCCCGCGACGGCACACGCCUGCUGAGGAAAACAUUUCCACCCACAGCCAGCCGCCCCGCCGGGGAAGCGUCUCCGAGCGUCUCCUUCGUGGACCUUCACCAUCCACAGCCUCAGAAAGUUUGAAAAGGCAACAUCAAACCUCGACCUCCCAAAGCCCCCAAGCAAGAGGAGGAAGACGCUGCCAAGAUGUUCAGCACCAAAAGGCUCAAGCAGAAGUCUCAGUCGGUGGAUAUCGCCAGUCAAGGUUUCUCUCCAACUCUGGUGCCAGCCUCACCCCGCAACAGAGCUGCACCACCUGUUGCCAAGGCGACCACCGGCCUGGCGGUAAAGGAAAACAACACCACCAACUCCCAGCUGCGCUCUCCUCGGUGUGUCGAACUGAAAAGAGGGUACACCAUAGGUAAAUGGCUGAUCUGUUCAGUAGACUGACAUAUCAAACCUUCUUGAUGCAUUAUAUUCUCCCAUCUUUUGUUGCUUUUUUUUCUUUUUUCUUUUAAAUUGGCUCAUUUUUAUCCUGGUCACAUCUCUACAACUCAACUCAGCCACUUUCAAGUCUCCUUCCUUUACAGCUCUUAAACUAUCCACUGCCUACAACUUCAAUUUUAGGCCCCAGAUGAGCUUUACUGCUGUGAUGAAAUCUAUUUCUGCCGACUGCAGUGGUGAUGUGGGGGAUAAUUGUCUGCUCUGGUUCUGUUUCUGGGUUUCAAAGUUCGGUUAGUGCUUUGAGAGUUCAGCAAUCUUUGGAGGGUUAACUUCACUUCACUGAGUUAAACUCAUAUAAAACUGAGGAGUGUAAUGUAUCCCUGUUCCUUCUAUUGAUGUGAUUUAGUUGUAAGUUGCUUGGAGUCGGAG